rnacentral:hammerhead_ribozyme from 1 species
GCACUGAUGAAGAGUCCCAAACUAGGACGAAACGGCUGUCCAGUAC